rfam:Neolecta irregularis DAH-3 scaffold_2284, whole genome shotgun sequence.
GGUCGUGUGGAUCAGUGGUUAGAUCAUGUCCUUCACAAUUUAAUGCACACGGACAGGGUCAAGGGUUCGAACCCCUUCUCGACCU